rnacentral:lncRNA from 1 species
UAAGCUUUAAACCUCAAUUCUCGAGAUGCGAGCAAUAGGCCGGAAUAUUGUCUACGACCCUCCAAAAUAUCUGGUAAAGCUCGGAACACAGAUCAAACACUCGAACCUCGCUAUUUGCAACGGUUCGGUGUGUUACACAAUGCAAAUGGGUCAAACUGGUCUAACAACCAAGACUCACGUGCCCUCGGCACAAUCUGAUACAAGAUGUAAACAUCUGAAUCCACCAUCAACCUCGAUAGCAACCGACAGUACAAAACUGCUAUAAAAAUGAGCUCGGCCCCUCAGUACGAGUGUAAACUCAACCUACAUUAAUCUAGGUAUCCACGACGUUACAAUAAAUUUAUAUAUUUUAUAAUUUUAGAGGAAUAUAUUUGAUAAUUAGAAUUUUAUAGGGAUAAAUCCAAUUUUUCAAAUUUUAGAAAAGUAAAUGAAAUUAUCCAAAAGAAAUAAUAAUAAAAUAAAGGUGUUAAUGUAUAAAACUUAUUUGAACUAUGAACUAUUUUGAGUUAACUAUUCAACAUUUUGAAAUUUUGAUUUUGCUACCCAAUAUUUCAAUUUGUUUGAUUUGAGUCGGAUAACAAUAUUUUGAUUUUAAAAUUUAAAUGCGUCGUUUAUCUUUCUAGGAUUACUUGGUAUACUUUAUACAAUUCUCACAACUAUAAAUUUAUUAAAGCAAGUUAUUAGUUUAAAUUUUUUAAGUCACGGUAUUAUUGACCGAUCCAAAUCAAAUAAAUUAAAAUAUUAAAAAUAUUAGGUAGUAAAAUUAAAAUUUUAAAAGAUUGGAUAAUCGAUUUAACUUGAUCCAUAAGUAUACUUAAAAUAAAAUGGUAAAACAGUAUGAAACAUCCUGAACAAUGAAUUAUUAUAUUUUAAAUUGGCUAUCCAAACUUUAUAAAAUAAUAUAAAAAGUUUUCUAACCAACCUUUCUGGUUAUUUAAUUUGAUAAAACUGCCGACACUUUGACUUUAAAACUAGAAUGCAUUAUUUAUUUAUUUAUCUUUAUAC